rnacentral:lncRNA from 1 species
UGCAAGAGAUGCAAAUGAGUAAGCGUACUCUCUCAUUAUUAUUAACGCUAGCCAAUAUGAUUUUCUUGUGAGGUGGGCUUGGUAAUGGUGAGUCUCCCAUACCCUACUAAGAGUUUCAUCCAAAACUCUCGAAUUCCAAUGAGGGAUAUGGAAUUUGCCAAAAAUAGUGGGUGGUGCUAUUUGAUUUAAAGACCCGGAAUCAAAUGGCUUAAAAUCAAUCAAUUUAUAUUCGUUAUGUAUUUGUUUACCAAUAUAUUUGCAAACGCUAUCCAAAACUUGACAAAGAAAAGCCGAAUGCUUUAGUUUCCGGACUUGGUACAACAAUCCCAAAGAUUGUCUUAAAUGGAUUGUAUAUGUACCUAAGUAGUCUCAUCCUCACAAUCUUUCUAUUGAUAAUGUAUCAUUGGAAGAACAUGUUAGAUAAGUCUAUCAUGAAGAGGACAACACAAACAACCAAUGCUUAUUCCUUCGUUAUAUGAACAAAGGAACUUACGAAGAUUAGCAUAAAAACAAGGACACUUUUAGUGUUGUUAGUUCUUCACUUACAAAUCGUUGUAUGAAGAAAUAAGAGUUGCUUUGAACAACCCUUAGCUAAUGCAAACA